GAUGAACGCUGGCGGCGUGCCUAAUACAUGCAAGUCGAGCGAACAGAUAAGGAGCUUGCUCCUUUGACGUUAGCGGCGGACGGGUGAGUAACACGUGGGUAACCUACCUAUAAGACUGGAAUAACUCCGGGAAACCGGUGCUAAUGCCGGAUAACAUUUAGAACCGCAUGGUUCUAAAGUGAAAGAUGGUUUUGCUAUCACUUAUAGAUGGACCCGCGCCGUAUUAGCUAGUUGGUAAGGUAACGGCUUACCAAGGCAACGAUACGUAGCCGACCUGAGAGGGUGAUCGGCCACACUGGAACUGGGACACGGUCCAGACUCCUACGGGAGGCAGCAGUAGGGAAUCUUCCGCAAUGGGCGAAAGCCUGACGGAGCAACGCCGCGUGAGUGAUGAAGGUCUUCGGAUCGUAAAACUCUGUUAUUAGGGAAGAACAAAUGUGUAAGUAACUGUGCACGUCUUGACGGUACCUAAUCAGAAAGCCACGGCUAACUACGUG
rnacentral:rRNA from 1 species